rnacentral:rRNA from 1 species
UCGAACGCGAAAGUUCCCUUCGGGGGACAAGUAGAGUGGCGCACGGGUGAGUAACACGUAGGUAAUCUACCUUUGGAUUGGGAAUAACAACCGGAAACGGUUGCUAAUACCGAAUAAUGCAGCGGCACCUAAUGGUGACAGUUGUUAAAGCGGGGGAUCGCAAGACCUCGCGUCUGAAGAGGAGCCUGCGGCGGAUUAGCUAGUUGGUAAGGUAACGGCUUACCAAGGCGAUGAUCCGUAGCCGGCCUGAGAGGGCGGUCGGCCACACUGACACUGACAUACGGGUCAGACUCCUACGGGAGGCAGCAGUCGGGAAUUUUGGGCAAUGGGCGAAAGCCUGACCCAGCAACGCCGCGUGAAGGAUGAAAUCCCUCGGGAUGUAAACUUCGCAAGAACGGGAAGAAUAAGUAGGGGACAAUACCCCCUAUGAUGACGGUACUGUUUGUAAGCUCCGGCUAACUCCGUGCCAGCAGCCGCGGUAAUACGGGGGGAGCAAGCGUUGUUCGGAUUUACUGGGCGUAAAGGGCGCGUAGGCGGCCACCGCAAGUCGACUGUGAAAUCUCCGGGCUUAACUCGGAAAGGUCAGCCGAUACUGCGGGGCUAGGGUGCAGAAGGGGCAACUGGAAUUCUCGGUGUAGCGGUGAAAUGCGUAGAUAUCGAGAGGAACACCUGCGGCGAAGGCGGGUUGCUGGGCUGACACUGACGCUGAAGUGCGAAAGCUAGGGGAGCGAACGGGAUUAGAUACCCCGGUAGUCCUAGCCUUAAACGAUGAAUGCUUGGUGUCUGGGG